CCUACGGGAGGCAGCAGUGGGGAAUAUUGCACAAUGGGGGAAACCCUGAUGCAGCGACGCCGCGUGAGUGAAGAAGUAAUUCGUUAUGUUAAGCUCUAUCAGCAGGGAAGAAAAUGACGGUACCUGAGUAAGAAGCACCGGCUAACUACGUGCCAGCAGCCGCGGCAAUACGUAGGGGGCCAGCGUUAUCCGGAUUUACUGGGUGUAAAGGGUGCGUAGACGGCAGUGCAAGUCUGGAGUGAAAGGCGGGGGCUAAACCCCCGGACUGCUCUUGAAACUGUACGGCUGGAGUGCAGGAGAGGUAAGUGGAAUGCGUAGUGUAGCGGUGAAAUGCGUAGAUAUUAGGAGGAACACCAGUUGCGAAGGCGGCUUACUGGACUGUAACUGACGUUGAGGCACGAAAGCGUGGGGAGCAAACAGGAUUAGAUACCCCUGUAGUC
rnacentral:rRNA from 1 species